rnacentral:rRNA from 1 species
ACACGACUACAUUAGAUACCCCUGUAGUCCUAGGCGUAAAUGAUGCGAGUUAAGUGUGGGGGCAUCUACGAGAUGGCCCUGUGCUGUAGGGUAGCCGUUAAACUCGCUGCCUGGGGAGUACGGUCGCAAGGCUGAAACUUAAAGGAAUUGGCGGGGGAGCACCACAACGCGUGGAGCCUGCGGUUUAAUUGGAUUCAACGCCGGAAAUCUUACCGGGACCGACAGCAACAUGGAGGCCAAGCUGAAGACUUUGCCGGAUUAGCUG